rnacentral:rRNA from 1 species
AGCUCCAAUAGCGUAUAUUAAAGUUGUUGCAGUUAAAAAGCUCGUAGUUGGAUUUCAGGCUCAGCGCACCUGGCCCGCUCCCUUGAGGAGCCGAGUGCCGGACGUGCGUUGGCCUUCCUUCUGGCAAGGAUCUCCUACCUCUUAACUGGGGCCGGGAGUGACUUCUGGAUCAUUUACUUUGAAGAAAUUAGAGUGUUCAAAGCAAGCUUACGCUGUGAAUAUAUUAGCAUGGAAUAAUAACAUAGGACUUGGGUUCUAUUUUGUUGGUUUCUAGAACUAUAAGUAAUGAUUGAUAGGGACAGUUGGGGGUGCUGCUAUUAUAUGGCCAGAGGUGAAAUUCAUAGAUUCAUAUAAGAGCAACUUAUGCGAAAGCAUUCACCAAGGAUGUCUUCU